AACAGACGUAGUCGAACGGGUCCUCACAUUCCGACACGCUUGCGGAACUCUACCGAGACGGAACAAACCGGAAACAGACAUCAACACAGAUAUUCACCACACGAUGCACAACAUGAUGCACAACCUACUAUGAUGCAUGAACAGAUCAAAAUGCAAGGGAUGGCAUGGCAAUUCACCUCACGCAAACACUACACAUUAAAUGAAGCUCGAUAUGCAACGAGUUGCAUAUCGACAAAACUCCAUGUUUAAUUAUUUAGUUCACUCCCGAUUAUUAACAUGGAAAUAUUAAAAUGUUGUUAACAUGGUAAGGGGUGAAGCAGAAAUAUAACUACCUAUCUAUGCAUUUUAAAUGAGACCGGAAACAACUUAUAGCAUCUCCGAAAUGACCCCAUGCUUUAAAUUCUAAUUCUGUCCAGAUUUGUCCUAAUCACAUUUUAAGUUUGUUAAACAACAAAAGAAAGUGGUUCACGUGAAACUACACGUCGUUCUAGCCCGUUUACAUAUAUGAAUCAUCUCCAACGGAGCUAUGGUUAAAUAGCUAUGACCUAAAUCGUUUCUAUUACGUCAACAUGCAAACCUAUGCAAACAGCAUGCUAACAGCCUUAAGCAUGCAUGAGAGUUGGAAAUUGUUAAUCUACACGAAAUUCUAGCUAAGUUACAUAUCUAACUCGUCGGAAUCCAACGCGCGGAAUAUAAUCUACGGGCGUUUGAAAAUAUGAUUUUUCUGAAAUAUGCAUGAGAUGGAAAAAAAUGCCUAAAAUCUACACGACUCGAGAAAAAAAGAAACAAAACAUGGAUGGGCUGGAAGCAUCAUAGUGCAAUGGCCCAGGGAUAGAUCAGGCCCAGGUGGACAUGUGUGUGCAAAAGAAAUACAGCAUGGCAGAAAAAAUGGGGUUCCUGGGACUUGAACCCAACACCUCCUAGUUGUAAACGUGGAGGCUAACCAGUGUAUAGAGGCAGCUGGGAUUCGAACCCGAGACCCCUCGAACCACUACGCGCGGCAAUGACCAGCUGAGCUGAGAUGCUUUUUGUUCAAAAAAGGGGUUCCUCCUCUAGAUGAACAUACGCACCCAUUGAAUCUGAACCUAAAAAUCUGAAUCUGAAACCGGGCUGCAACUGAACCUGUUGGGACGGUUUGACCAAGGCUGUGCUCGGGGCGGCGCUAGGUGGUCGGGGAUGGCGCGGGAAGAGGGGGUCGAGGGCUGGCAGGGCUAUGACGGCCUCUGGUCUGGGCAGAGGAGGUGGACCCAAGGAGGCAAGGUCCCACGGGCUCCUAUGGUUUCCUGCAGCAACAAGAAUGAGAGGGAGAGAUGAGAGGAAGAGCACGGGAGGUGCAGAGAAAUGGAGGAGCAGCAGCAAGCAUCUCACCGGCGGUGGAGCAUCCCACGAGCACGGCACCAAGAACCUACAUGCGAUGGUCGUGGCUUUUGCUGGCCCCGAAAGGCCAUGGGAGAGCUCCCUCGAGCACUCCGACGAAGAAGAACGGCGCGGGGAAGAGGAAGAAGAGGCGAGGCGAGGCGGCGACCUUCGAACCAUAGCUCCGCUCCGGCGAAAACGACAUGGAGGCGAUGCCAGAGGAAGGGAUCCAGCUCCCUAGUGGCGGGAACGGAUCAAGGGAGGAUCCAGCGUCCUCACGGACGCCUCAGACGCCGCGGGGGAGGCUGCCGGCGACGAGGAGAUGGUGGGGAUGGUGACGACCUUCCUGCUCUUGCUCUGAACCUGAACCUCCUCUGUUGCUCUCUGAACCUAACCUUGCAGAGGGGGAAGGAGGGAGAAGGAGGUGGCGGCGGGGAGAGGGAACCCUGGGAGAGGCACGAACGACGAGGGACUAAAUAGGCGACGGGGCUGACGGCCUCGAUGUCCGUGAUGCCACGGUGGCAAGAUCUCUCUCACACACCCG
rnacentral:lncRNA from 1 species